rfam:Gossypium raimondii Chr02_contig_1481, whole genome shotgun sequence.
AGUUAAAAUUUCCAUCUAUUUCUAUUGUUAAAUUGGCAUGACUGAUAGAAUAACCAGAUAGUUACAUAUGAUACGUCACGUGUACCUCAUGUUAACAUAUAGAGAUGGAUGAAAUUUUUAAUA